UACAGAGGGUGCAAGCGUUGUUCGGAAUUAUUGGGCGUAAAGCGCGUGUAGGCGGCUUUGCAAGUCGGGUGUGAAAGCCCUCGGCUCAACCGAGGAAGUGCGCCCGAAACUGCAGAGCUUGAGUGCCGGAGAGGAUGGCGGAAUUCCCCAAGUAGAGGUGAAAUUCGUAGAUAUGGGGAGGAACACCGGUGGCGAAGGCGGCCAUCUGGGACGGUGACUGACGCUGAGACGCGAAAGCGU
rnacentral:rRNA from 1 species